CAACAGGCACUGCGAGUCCAGUCAAAGCUGAUGAUACAGGCAAUGAAACAGACGUUCGCUUCAUCGUCGUGUGUUGCCUAAUGGUGUUGCUUUUGGCAUACUCAGCUGUAGUAACAACACUUAAUGUCAGGCUCAGACGACUACAAGCCCUAACCAAAGCUGAACUUGAGAAACAGUAUAUGUCACUGGAAACUCGAGGGGAAUCAUCUGUCUAUGACGUCAUUGCAGGAACCCAUACAUACUGCAAUGACGUGCAGCCUGGGGGCAGUGAUUAUGAAAACACCAACAUGAAUGUCACGAAACACGACGAGAAUUCAUUGUAGGAUGCCAACAUCUGCCACGUGGUGUUAUUUGACGUAUUAAGUGACAUAUCUCCGGAAUAUUCCACGUCAUCUUCAUGCUUGAAAGUCUAUGGAAACAUAAUACAUGUUCGUGUCUCGACGUUGGUACAGAUGUAAGUCUUGUGGCUCUGGAGGAAUCACAUACUUAGUGUGCAUUGGCAUCUAAGGGUUGCACGAUAUGUGUACGACCGCUUCUGGUAACGACGAUAUGCACGAUGCAUCUCAUUUAACGCAUCUUUAGUUACACAUCUCAGUUUCAUCAUCCAUAGCUGUAAGAGGCGACUAACAGGAUCCGGUAAUCAAGCUUGCCGAGUUAGUUGACACUAUAUCAUGUCAUCGUAUCCCAAUAGUUAGAUGCUCAUGAUGUCAAUCACUGAAUUGUCUGGUCCAGAUAUCCAGGUGUUAUCAGUUUCUUCGGAAAAUCGAGAUUGCUUGCUCUCAGACAUUGACAUUUAAUACUUACUGUAUAAAAAUUAUUUUUCUAUAGUCUAUUUCUGUACUGAUUUAGAUUUGCAGUGGGUUGCUGUUUGUUCCAUGUUUAUCACUGUAUCAUAAAUGCAAUGCUCGCUGUGACUAUUUUAUGUGGGCAUCGAUAUAUUGCUUACUCCAAUAUGCA